rnacentral:lncRNA from 1 species
UCAAAAACAUGACUGUACUAAAAUGACGGCCAGUUAUUUAAUGUUCAUACAGUUCUAGUAUAUGUGUAAUGGUUAAUCGCUGUUGUUAUUUAGUCAGGCGUCAGUCACACGCCUAUUGUUAGGACCCAGAAGUCAAAAAAGGACCCGGACGCUGACGCAGUUUCAGGGCAGAUAUGAUCGCUAUUAUUAUUACUAGCGUGAGACGAUUCUAACGGUGAUGAUAAUGCCAGUUCUCCCGCAAUAUUGAGUUAUCGCAUGUGUGCGUGCAUCAAAGAAACCACACUUAAUUAAAUAUUGUUUGAGUUUGCAAUGGGUGGUCUAUGAGUGCCUUUUAGCCCGACAGGAACAUCUUCCCGAAAUAACAUGAAGGAAAUGGAAAACAAAACUUUGACCCGGAGCCCAGCCAGCCACAGUCUUAAAUGGUACAAGGAUACGACCUUCCCAAAUGAACUUAAACAGGGAAACAAAGACCAAACCCUGACCAAGAACCAGCUCAAUUAUGCCUAUAAAAGUAAUACUCCAAUAAAGACAGGUAGGACACUGCAGUGCAGACUGAUUCAGGACUCAGACAACAAUGCUUACACAUCUGUGCCACAGUACUGGACCUGGGGAAGAAGACCAGCUUCAUACAUAGGUUCCUUGUGAUUUAUCUGAAUUGUUUAUCCAAUCAUUUUUCUUUGUCAUCUAAAACAGACUAUAGGACCUCAUCUAAGGGUGGAGGUUUUCCAAAUCGCUCAUGGACACGUUACAAUCAACAGGAUUCAGUUCAACCCUCACCAGACUAUCAACAACUAUCAAUCAAGAUGACUCAGUAAUAACCAAUGAUUUUUUCAAAUGUUUUUUCCAGUUAUAUUUUUUAUCUGCAUAUUACUUCCUGCAUAUAUGUUGUGUAUAUUUUAGUUGUAUUAUAUGUACUAUAUGAUUUGGCAACAACAGGACUUAAAAGUACUCUGAUAAUUAUUAUUUAUUUAUUUUUAUUUUAUUUUUUUUUUGUCUUUUUUUCUAGUUAAUUGCAGUAUUUCUGAAAGCAAUGCUUUAAUUGUAAUUAUCCAUAUUGAUGAGAAUAUAUGUUAUAUUUUCCUAUUUUGUAUUCCUCUCAUUACCAAAAUGUAUAGAAUUAAUAUAACUCUUUGGUCUUUCUUCUUGUUAAAAUAAUAAAUAAAUAAAUAAAUAAAUAAAACUGUUUCCAUUGCAGUGGUUCUUGCUGUGCCAAAAAUUACAAGAAACAUUAAGAGCACGAUGAUAUAAAACCGUGCAUCUCUUGGCUACAUAUACCAAUGACAAGAAAAAAAGUAGAGAGACUUAAUUAUUUAUUUAUUUUAUUUUUAUUUUUAUUUUUUUUUUGUCUUUUUUUCAGUUAAUUGCAGUUAUUUCUGAAAGCAAUGCUUUAAUUGUAAUUAUCCAUAUUGAUGAGAAUAUAUGUUAUAUUUUUCCUAUUUUUGUAUUCCUCUCAUUACCAAAAAUGUAUAGAAUUAAUAUAACUCUUUGGUCUUUCUUCUUGUUAAAAUAAUAAAUAAAUAAAUAAAUAAAUAAAACUGUUUCCAUUGCAGUGGUUCUUGCUGUGCCAAAAAUUACAAGAAACAUUAAGAGCACGAUGAUAUAAAACCGUGCAUCUCUUGGCUACAUAUACCAAUGACAGAAAAAAAGUAAGAGAGCAAGAAUAUGACUUUAAAGGCAGCUUUUGAAUUUACUUAAUCAUUUAGCUGACGCUUUUAUCCAAAGCGACUUGCAAAUGAGGACAAUAGAAGCAAUCAAACCAACCAAAGAGCAACAAUAUGUAAGUGCUGUGACAAUUCCCGUGUAGUCUAACCCUAACUCUCUAACACUAACUCGCUAUUCUGUUUCUAUUCUACCUUUUUAUUCUUUCUAUUUAUUAUUAAAAACAAAUAAAUAAAUAAAAAUGGUGCUGAACUUCAUUCUUGUUGGAUGACGCGAAUUAUUAUUAUUAUUAUUAUUAUUAUUCAAUUUGUCAAGAAAAAAUAAAUAAAAGUACUUUAAAUAUCAAUACAUUUAAUACAUUUAAUACUUUCAACAUCUGCAGCUGAACCACACAUUACAUAUAGACUUUCAUUAAGAACAUUAAUAAGGAUUUUCGGUAUUUCGCAACAAAGUCAAAAGUAGAGCAGAAAAUACUAAUCUUUUACUAUAACUUUUUUUUUUUGGUCAUAAAUAUAUUUUUAUGCAAACUUUUAUCCUCCCACGAUGUCGCUGCACUACUGAUAUUCACUUUAUGGGAGGAUGCAAGAACAGCCAUGCUUUUUUUCUUUCAUAAUGCGGUUGGACGGAGGCAUAGAGAGCAGCAGCUCUGCUGAAUCUGAUCAGCGGGCGGGAUCCACGGCACGGCGCUAUGGCGAUGCACUGCUGGAUGUUUUCAAGAAACCAAAUACUCGCUCGUUUUGGAACAUACUGCUAUAUUUCUUGUGAAAGACAAUAAAA